rnacentral:rRNA from 1 species
AACGAACGCUGGCGGCAUGCCUAACACAUGCAAGUCGAACGAGACCUUCGGGUCUAGUGGCGCACGGGUGCGUCACGCGUGGGAACCUGCCCUUAGGUUCGGAAUAACUCCCCGAAAGGGGUGCUAAUACCGGAUAAUUUCUUCUGACCAAAGAUUUAUCGCCCUUGGAUGGGCCCGCGUUGUAUUAGCUUGUUGGUAGUGUAAAAGCCUACCAAGGCGACGAUCCAUAGCUGGGUUGAGAGGAUGAGCAGCCACACUGAGACUGAGACACGGCCCAGACUCCUACGGGAGGCAGCAGUGGGGAAUAUUGGACAAUGGGCGAAAGCCUGAUCCAGCAAUGCCGCGUGAGUGAUGAAGGCCUUAGGGUUGUAAAGCUCUUUUACCCGGGAUGAUAAUGACAGUACCGGGAGAAUAAGCACCGGCUAACUCCGUG